AUGAAGCCUGGCCUCAUCUUCUUGCUAGUGCUCAUACUCACCCUCGGUGGAACAGGAGCCCAGACAGUGACUCAGCCCCCGGACCUCAUCUCUGUCCUUGCAGGGACCCCCGUGCGGCUUGAGUGCAACUACUCAUAUUCUGGGAGCCCUUAUCUCUUCUGGUAUGUCCAAUACCCCAAACAAACCCUCCAGGUUCUCAUGAAUCACCUCUCAGGGAAGAAUGACAAAGGUUUUACGGCCAAGCAUGACAAGGGUACGACUUCCUUCCAUCUGGAGAAAGCGUCAGCCCAGGAGGAAGACUCAGCCACGUACUUCUGCGCCCUGAGUGCCACAGUGACUGGGUGUGCAGGUGAAGCGCAGCUUAAACCCCACGCUCCCAGGAAGUCUGUGAUUCUUGGCCCCAGUGGGGCAUUCUUUCUCUAG